AAUAUUUAAAAUUUUCCCUUGUAGUCGCCUUGAAGUUCACUAGUUGCAGAUGUGGCGUCAAGGUCAGAAUCUUCUUCGGCGAACGUCGCUAUUAAACCUUAGCUGCGGAAUCAGACAAAUCAUUACUGGUUCAACGUCAUCAGCGAGCCCCAGUGUGUCGAUAUGGAGGCGCAAGAAAGAAAUGGGUAAAGAAGGUUUAAUGGUCGCCAAGGAGCUUAAGCGGUUGCAGUCCAACGCCGUUAGGUUUGAGAAGUUUAUGAAGUCCCAUGUUUCUCGUCUACUAAAAUCUGACCUCGUCGCCGUUCUUGCUGAGUUCCAAAGACAAGAUCUCCCUUACCUCUCCAUGAGGUUGUACGAGGCUGUGCGCAAAGAAAUAUGGUAUCGGCCAGACAUGUUCUUUUACAGGGAUAUGCUUUUCAUGCUUGCAAGAAACAAAAAGGUAGAUGAAACAAAGAAGGUAUGGGAUGAUUUGAAGAAAGAAGGGGUGCUUUUCGAUCAGCAUACAUUUGGUGAUCUUGUCAGGGCUUUUCUAGAUGGUGGAUUACCCUCAGAGGCAAUGCACAUAUAUGAUGAAAUGAGGCGAUCUCCUGAUCCUCCUAUGUCCUUACCUUAUCGUGUUAUAUUGAAGGGGCUACUUCCUUACCCCGAAUUGAGAGAAAAAGUGAAGGAUGACUUUCUAGAACUGUUCCCAGAUACUGUAGUUUAUGAUCCACCUGAAGAUCUAUUUGAUGAGGAAGAAUGGAGAAAGGAGAUUGAUGAUGAUUAGAGUAUGCUGUCGACUCAGAUUUUCUCGCAUUGAAAUUUUCCUCUGGUCAAGAACAUAGUGGAAUGGUAAAUAGGGAAUGCACUGGCAGCAGAUCAUGAAAUUGUUUAAGCUGCUGAACAAAUGGGUGCUUCUGCCUUAGAGAAAUUGAAAUGUGACCCAUGAAAACUGUGGAAAAUUGGUAGUUGAUGAAGUAUGAUCUUACCUGUGAUAUCUAAACUGAAGAUAGCAAAACAUGUUUGGUCAUGUGGUCAAAGUUGUGGCAUUGUAAUUAGAAAUGGUGAAAACAUGAUACAAUGACUCAUGUUUUGGUGAGCUAUCUACGGCUAAUAACGGUAUCCAUGAAGUGCUAUAUCAAUGCCUCCCCACAGUUAUAUGCUGGGAGAUAAGAAAAAAUAGAUGUGCUGCAAGUGGGAAAGACGAAACAAAUAAUCAGUAGUCAACUGGUGAAAUGGAAUAAGCCUGAGUUUGAUUGGCUAAAACUUAAAAUUGAUGGCUGUUGUUAAGGAGAAUCGAGAAGCUCUGGAGGCGGUGGUUGUAUCAUUAAGGACAACCUUGGCUGCUCUGUCCUGACCUAUCCUGAUUAUUACAGCCAUUGCAGUAUCAAUAUGGCUGAGGCCAAAGCUCUUUUACAGGGUGUGAAACUGUGUAUUUGCAGAAGUUCCUUUUAUGUGAAGGUGGAAUAUGAUUCCCAGUUGAUUUAUUAACAUGAUUAACAACAAAACAAAAGCACCUUAACAGACCCAACAUGCCAUUGAUCAGAUUGUUCACCCCUCAAGUAGUGUUAUUUUGUUUUUGUCCAUACAUACUGAGUGGGAAAUAUGUGUGCUAAUCAACUAGCCAAUAUGGGGAAAGAUUGAGAGAUCAAGUUACAUUCGAUGAAGCUAUUUCUGGAAAUUUCUCUUCCAGAAAUAGUGAAAUCAACAUUGAAACUUGAUCGAGAUUGUAUCCCAAACUUCAGAAUGAAACCAAGAAAGAAUAAUUUUGUUAUAAUG